rnacentral:rRNA from 1 species
CCUACGGGGGGCAGCAGUGAGGAAUAUUGGUCAAUGGCCGGAAGGCUGAACCAGCCAUGCCGCGUGAAGGUCAGUGCCCUAUGGGCGUUAAACUUCUUUUGUGCGGGAGCAAUAAUGGUCACGUGUGGCCAGACGAGAGUACCGUACGAAUAAGCAUCGGCUCACUCCGUGCCAGCAGCCGCGGUAAUACGGGGGAUGCAAGCGUUAUCCGGAGUUAUUGGGUUUAAAGGGUGCGUAGGCUGUGAGGUAAGUCAGCGGUGAAAUGCCCCCGCUCAACGGGGUGAAGUGCCAUUGAUACUGCCUGGCUGGAAUGCGGAUGCCGUGGGAGGAAUGUGUGGUGUAGCGGUGAAAUGCAUGGAUAUCACACAGAACACCGAUUGCGAAGGCAUCUCACGAAUCCGCGAUUGACGCUGAUGCACGAAAGCGUGGGUAUCAAACAGGAUUAGAUACCCUAGUAGUC